rnacentral:miRNA from 1 species
GGUUGGCGUAGAGUGGUACCAUG